ensembl:ncRNA Y48G10A.9 ncRNA
CAUCUACUUUUCCCCAAAUUUAAAAUGUAUUUUCUCAAUUUUUGUCCUCAUUCUACACCUUUCUUUCGAAAAUUCCGCUACUUCUGUCUCUCCCCGCUCUCUCUACCGCAUGUGUGAUCACCAUUCUUUCUCUUUAGCUUUAUU